rnacentral:rRNA from 1 species
CCUACGGGUGGCAGCAGUGAGGAAUAUUGGGCAAUGGAGGAAACUCUGACCCAGCCAUGCCGCGUGAGUGAAGAAGGUUUUCGAAUUGUAAAGCUCUUUCGGAUGUGAAGAUGAUGACGGUAACAUCUAAAGAAGCCCCGGCAAACUUCGUGCCAGCAGCCGCGGUAAUACGAAGGGGGCAAGCGUUGUUCGGAAUUACUGGGCGUAAAGGGUGUGUAGGCGGGAAAGUAAGUUGGCGGUGUAAUUCCGGGGCUCAACCUCGGCGCUACCGCCAAAACUAUUAGACUAGAGUGCAGGAGGGGUAAGUGGAAUUCCUAGUGUAGCGGUGGAAUGCGUAGAUAUUAGGAGGAACAUCAGGGGCGAAGGCGACUUACUGGACUGUAACUGACACUGAGGCACGAAAGCGUGGGGAGCAAACAGGAUUAGAUACCCCAGUAGUC